rnacentral:misc_RNA from 1 species
GAUGAAGAACGCAGCGAAAUGCGAUAAGUAAUGUGAAUUGCAGAAUUCAGUGAAUCAUCGAAUCUUUGAACGCACCUUGCGCCCUUUGGCCAUUCCGAAGGGCAUGCCUGUUUGAGUAUCAUGAACACCUCAACUCUUUAUGGUUUUCCAUGAUGAGCUUGGACUCUGGGGGUUUUGCUGGCUCACAGUCGGCUCCUCUAAAAUAAAUCAGCUUACCAGUGUUUGGUGGGUAUCAUGGGUGUGAUAACUAUCUACGCUUGUGGUUUUUCCACCAGGUAACCUUCAGCAGUGGAGGUUCGCUGGAGCUCAUAGACGUCUCUCCUCAGUGAGGACAGCCUUUGAAUGUUUGAUCUCAAAUCAGGUAGGACUACCCGCUGAACUUAAGCAUAUCAAUAAGCGGAGGA